GAUGAACGCUGGCGGCGUGCCUAAUACAUGCAAGUCGAGCGAACAGACGAGGAGCUUGCUCCUCUGACGUUAGCGGCGGACGGGUGAGUAACACGUGGAUAACCUACCUAUAAGACUGGGAUAACUUCGGGAAACCGGAGCUAAUACCGGAUAAUAUAUUGAACCGCAUGGUUCAAUAGUGAAAGACGGUUUUGCUGUCACUUAUAGAUGGAUCCGCGCCGCAUUAGCUAGUUGGUAAGGUAACGGCUUACCAAGGCAACGAUGCGUAGCCGACCGGAGAGGGGGAUCGGCCACACGGGAACGGAGACGCGGUCCAGACGCCUACGGGAGGCAGCAGUAGGGAAUCUGCCGCAAUGGGCGAAAGCCUGACGGAGCAACGCCGCGUGAGUGAUGAAGGUCUUCGGAUCGUGAAACUCUGUUAUGAGGGAAGAACAAAUGUGUAAGUAACUAUGCACGUCUUGACGGUACCUAAUCAGAAAGCCACGGCUAACUACGUG
rnacentral:rRNA from 1 species